AGAGAAAUUGCUAGGUCAUAUGGUAAUCCUUUGUAACAUUUUGAGCAAUUACCAAAAUGGUUUCCAAAGCAGCUGUACCAUUUUACAUUCCCAUCAGCAAU
rnacentral:pre_miRNA from 1 species